rnacentral:rRNA from 1 species
AACCUGCUGCCGGAUCAUUA